AACUGAUACUACCUGCGGGAACCUGCGGAAGGAUCAUUACCGAGGUUUAGAUUGGCCCGAAUAGGGUCCGCCUCUCCACACCGUGCGUACGCAUGUCAUUACGUUAUACACAAAGGACAAUGUGUUUAAAAAACCAAACCAAAACAAAGCAAAAACUUUCAACAACGGAUCUCU
rnacentral:misc_RNA from 1 species